rnacentral:rRNA from 1 species
AGAACGAACGCUGGCGGCAGGCCUAACACAUGCAAGUCGAACGCUCGUAGCAAUACGAGAGUGGCAGACGGGUGAGUAACACGUGGGAACCUUCCCUAUGGUUCGGAAUAGCUCAGGGAAACUUGGGGUAAUACCGGAUAAGCCCUUCGGGGGAAAGAUUUAUCGCCAUUGGAUGGGCCCGCGUCGGAUUAGCUAGUUGGUGAGGUAACGGCUCACCAAGGCAACGAUCCGUAGCUGGUCUGAGAGGAUGAUCAGCCACACUGGGACUGAGACACGGCCCAGACUCCUACGGGAGGCAGCAGUGGGGAAUAUUGGACAAUGGCGCAAGCCUGAUCCAGCCAUGCCGCGUGAGUGACGAAGGUCUUCGGAUUGUAAAACUCUUUUGGCGGGACGAUAAUGACGGUACCCGCAGAAUAAGCCCGGCUAACUUCGUGCCAGCAGCCGC